GUUCGAUGUGUUUUCUCAAAAAGCCACGGGAUGGAACUGCCUUUUGAACAAUGAAAACAGUUAAGCUGUUUCCAAAACAAAAACUCAGAGAGAGGUAGAGAGAGAGAGAUGGAGAGGUAGAGAGAGAGAGAUGGAGAGGUAGAGAGAGAGAGAUGGAGAGGUAGAGAGAGAGAGAUGGAGAGGUAGAGAGCGAGAGAUGGAGAGGUAGAGAGAGAGAUAGAGGUAGAGAGAGAGAGAUGGAGAGGUAGAGAGAGAGAUGGAGAGGUAGAGAGAGAGAGAUGGAGAGGUAGAGAGAGAGAGAGAUGGAGAGGUAGAGAGAGAGAGAUGGAGAGGUAGAGAGAGAGAUGGAGAGGUAGAGAGAGAUGGAGAGGUAGAGAGAGAGAGAUGGAGAGGUAGAGAGAGAGAUGGAGAGGUAGAGAGAGAGAGAUGGAGAGGUAGAGAGAGAGAGAUGGAGAGGUAGAGAGAGAGAGAUGGAGAGGUAGAGAGAGGUAGAGAGAUGGAGAGGUAGAGAGAGAGAGAUGGAGAGGUAGAGAUGGAGAGAUGGAGAGGUAGAGAGAGAGAGAUGGAGAGGUAGAGAGAGAGAGAGAUGGAGAGGUAGAGAGAGAGAGAUGGAGAGGUAGAGAGAGAGAUGGAGAGGUAGAGAGAGAUGGAGAGGUAGAGAGAGAGAGACGGAGAGGUAGAGAGGUAGAGAGUUUCCAGCUUGUUCAUAUAUACAAUGUGUAGCCAAACUGCAAGUCACUUGUCUGAACCCCCUUACUACAAGUGCUUGCAGAAUUUAGCUUGAAGGAAAGCCAUAAACCAUCCAUCAUCAUUUGUUUGAAUGUAUUUUAAAGCAAGCACAUGAUUAACAGAUUACACAAAUUAUUUUUUACAGUAGCAGUAGAAACUAAACUAAAACAUAUCAAAUGUUAUAAUAUGUGAAGCCUAUAACAUGCCUAAGUAGAAAUAUAUGAAUGACCUUAAUCCCCAAUCUGCUUUAAAGCACAGCCAUGUUCUUCAUUGAUUAGUUCCACCUUCCUCCUGUUAAUAGUCAGGGGACAUUGUGUACUUAUACAUUUAGAUGGUUUUGUAGAUAUACGGAUAUCCAAUCUGAUGUGAGAGGUUAUUGUCCUAGCACCUAUUGUACCAAGAAAAACAUGACAUGUAUGAUGCUUGAUUGGUUAUUUGUUUCAGUUCCUUACUUCAUAAUCGACAUAAUCCCAAUCGUUACACACAAAGCUUACUGUCUAUGAGAUACAUUUGCUACCUUUUCACCACUCUCCAAAUUUUUUAUUUCAUCUUUAUUUAACCAGGUAAGCUAGUUGAGAAGAAGUUCUCAUUUACAACUGCGACCUGGCCAGGAUAAAGCAAAGCAGUGCGACAGAAACAACAACACAGAGUUACAUGGAAUAAACAAGCGUACAGUCACUAACACAAUAGAAAAAAGAAAGUCUAUAUACAGUGUGUGCAAAUGGCAUGAGGAGGUAAGGCAAUAAAUAGGCCAAUAGGCCAAUUUAGCAGAUUAACACUGGAGUGAUAGAUGAGCAGAUGAUGGUGUGUAAAGUAGUGAUACUGGUGUGCAAAAGAGCAGCAAAGUAAAUAAAAACAAUAUGGGGAUGAGGUAGGUAGAUUGGGUGGGCUAUUUACAGAUGGACUAUGUACAGCUGCAGCGAUCGGUUAGCUGCUCAGAUAGGUGAAGUUUAAAGUUAGUGAGGGAAAUGUAAGUCUCCAGUUUCAGCGAUUUUUGCAAUUAGUUCCGGUCACUGGCAGCAGAGAACUUGAAGGAAAGGCGGCUAAAGGAGAUGUUAGCUUUGGGGAUGACCAGUGAGAUAUACCUGCUGGAGCGCGUGCUACGGGUGGGUGUUGUUAUUGUGACCAGUGAGCUGAGAUAAGGUGGAGCUUAGACUUGUAGAUGACCUGGAGCCAGUGGGUCUGGCGACGAAUAUGUCGAGGGCCAGCUGACUAGAGCAUACAGGUCGCAGUGGUGGGUGGUAUAAGGCGCUUUGGUAACAAAACGGAUGGCACUGUGAUAGACUGCAUCCAAUUAGCUGAGUAGAGUAUUGGAAGCUAUUUUGUAGAUGACAUCACAGAAGUCGAGGAUCGGUAGGAUAGUCAGUUAUUACUAGGGUAAGUUUGGAGGCGUGAGUGAAGGAGGCUUUGUUGCGAAAUAGAAAGCCGAUUCUAGAUUUGAUUUUGGAUUGGAGAUGUUUGAUAUGAGUCUGGAAGGAGAGUUUACAGUCUAGCCAGACACCUAGGUAUUUGUAGUUGUCCACGUAUUCUAGGUCAGAACCGUCCAGAGUAGUGAUGCUAGUCAGGCGGGCGGGUGCGGGCAGCGAACGGUUGAAAAGCAUGCAUUUGGUUUUGCUAGCGUUUAAGAGCAGUUGGAGGCCACGGACGGAGUGUUGCAUGGCAUUGAAGCUUGUUUGGAGAUUAGUUAACACAGUGUCCAAAGAAGGGCCAGAUGUAUACAGAAUGGUGUCGUCUGCUAGAAGUCGAUCCCCAAUGAAUCACCUGCAGCAAGAGCGACAUCGUUGAUAUAUACAGAGAAAAGAG
ensembl:lncRNA